rnacentral:rRNA from 1 species
AGAGUUUGAUCCUGGCUCAGAACGAACGCUGGCGGCAGGCCUAACACAUGCAAGUCGAACGCUCCGCAAGGGGCGUGGCAGACGGGUGAGUAACGCGUGGGAACGUACCCUUCGGUUCGGAAUAACUCAGGGAAACUUGGGACAAUACCGGAUACGUCCGUGAGGAGAAAGAUUUAUCGCCGAAGGAUCGGCCCGCGUUGGAUUAGCUAGUUGGCGGGGUAAUGGCCCACCAAGGCGACGAUCCAUAGCUGGUCUGAGAGGAUGAUCAGCCACACUGGGACUGAGACACGGCCCAGACUCCUACGGGAGGCAGCAGUGGGGAAUAUUGGACAAUGGGCGAAAGCCUGAUCCAGCCAUGCCGCGUGAGUGAUGAAGGCCCUAGGGUUGUAAAGCUCUUUCAGCGGGGAAGAUAAUGACGGUACCCGCAGAAGAAGCCCCGGCUAACUUCGUGCCAGCAGCCGCGGUAAUACGAAGGGGGCUAGCGUUGUUCGGAAUCACUGGGCGUAAAGCGCGUGUAGGCGGAUCGUUAAGUCGGGGGUGAAAUCCUGAGGCUCAACCUCAGAACUGCCUUCGAUACUGGCGAUCUUGGAGUCCGGGAGAGGUGAGUGGAACUCCUAGUGUAGAGGUGAAAUUCGUAGAU